GAGAUCUCUGCUGCUCUCUGGAGGUGAGAAACUGCGCGUCUGAAUGCGGAGGGAAGAGGCUCCGAGCGGCGCGGGGCAAACUGAGCAACAAUCUGCCCAAAAGGGAUUGUGAGAUGGUGAAUAAUUUAUUAGAAAACAUUUUUCUUUGUCCUUCCCACAGACCCACAAAUCCUCCCCAAGCGCUCUUUACCAGCCUUGCAGAUAAUGUACUUACACAUCUCAGAGCCUGCUAAAUAGACUGAAGAGGCCAUCGGGUUCACCCUCCACACUGCGGCUGCCAGGACCGCGCACACCCAACGCGCGGCCUCUGCCAAGGGCCGGCUGAUGGAGGUGAGGUAAUUAGAUGCGUUUGCAGAGGCAGAUAUGAAAAGCUGGUGGAUGCAUGGCCGCCCCACCUCCUUCCAGCUCCUGCUUCCCAUACAGAACAGGUAUAUCCUCCCACACACAACUCCACAAUUUCAUUCCUUACUAUAAGUAUUUAUUGAGUUUCUACUAUAAUUGAGAGUCGCUCUGUCCCUGGCACCUUCUGGAUAAAAGGAAGGCCACACCAUCUUCACAGCCAUACAUGUACUCCUUUGACAGAACUGUGAGCCUAUGGUACUGGGGAUGUAAAGAGGAAAGACUCAGGCCCUGUGCUCAAAUUGCUGGAAGCCUGUGUUCAUGCAGUGACACUAGGGCAGGCGGAGUGAGAUAUUGUAAGCUCUCCAUUCCCAGAGAUCUUCAUAAGGAGGAGAAAUAGUCCUAUCUCCUCAGAGGUUUUAGAACAACACAGUUUGAAAUCAGGCCAAGCAUAUGUAAAAGAAGUAUCUUCUCAGUCACAGUUUUUAUGAUACCAUGAUCUUUUCCACCUUAAAAUGAUGCUCUGAGAUCUGUCUUUCUAGGGAUUUGGUGGAUCAAUUAAAUCAUUCAACAAACUUUAGGUAAGCGCUUACUACAUGCCAUGCCUCAUGCUGGUCUCUGGGGAUCCAGUGGUAGAUGGGUGUGUUACCUGACAUCCUGGAGGACUGCUCAGAUUCUGAAGAGACAGCACCAAGCCUGCAGGUGCCUGCAGAUGAGACUGGCUGCCUCCAUUGUGCACAGGCAUCAAGGAAAGGCUAUGUGAGAAGACAACUGUCUGCACACCAGGAAGAGAGCUCUCACCAGAAAUUGACCACGUUAGCACCUUGAUCUUGGACUUCUAGCUUCCAGAACCAUGAGAAAAUUAAUUUCUGUCAUUUAAGUUAUCCAGUCUAUGGUAUUUUGUUAUUGCAGCCCAAGUACAUGGGCUAAUAUUACAAGCUUCUAGCACUGUACCAAGAACGAAGUAAUCAAAGAUAAAUAAGACCAUUUAUUUCCCACAAAUGCUCAGGGCUAUGUAGGAGAAACUGACCAACAGACAAACAAUAACCAAAGUAAAUAUUCUGGUGGAUUACUUGAUCACCUGUUUGAAAUCAUCAUGAUUUAUUUUCUUAAGUGAACAACAAUUUUAUCUGCUCUUAAACACAUUUCAGUAUGAUUGAAGAAUUCAAUGGAGCCAUUAAUACUAUUUACCAAUAUUUGAAUUUCUUUUCACUCUAGGCAAAUUCACAAAAAGUUAACUGGGUCUAUAUAAUUUGCUUUAAAAACUGAAUUGUGAUCAAAAGUGAUAGGUAUCACUUGCAGGCAGAAACCUUUAAAAGCCAGUGAGUGAUUUUGCCAAGUUUCCUUCUCCUGGAUAGAUAGCAACCAUCAACAUCCCACGUGUGGGAGGCUCUAUCAGCCCACAUCUCCAUGUAAGACCAUUAGGAGCAGAAGACCUAUGAAGAACAGGCAGUGUGAAUAAGAAAUAAACAUUUUUUGUUUUAAGG